GACGAACGCUGGCGGCGUGCUUAACACAUGCAAGUCGAACGGAAAGGCCCUGCUUUUGUGGGGUGCUCGAGUGGCGAACGGGUGAGUAACACGUGAGUAACCUGCCCUUGACUUUGGGAUAACUUCAGGAAACUGGGGCUAAUACCGGAUAGGAGCUCCUGCUGCAUGGUGGGGGUUGGAAAGUUUCGGCGGUUGGGGAUGGACUCGCGGCUUAUCAGCUUGUUGGUGGGGUAGUGGCUUACCAAGGCUUUGACGGGUAGCCGGCCUGAGAGGGUGACCGGCCACAUUGGGACUGAGAUACGGCCCAGACGCCUACGGGAGGCAGCAGUGGGGAAUAUUGCACAAUGGGCGGAAGCCUGAGGCAGCAACGCCGCGUGCGGGAUGACGGCCUUCGGGUUGUAAACCGCUUUCGCCUGUGACGAAGCGCGAGUGACGGUAAUGGGUAAAGAAGCACCGGCUAACUACGUG
rnacentral:rRNA from 1 species